rnacentral:rRNA from 1 species
GACGAACGCUGGCGGCGUGCCUAAUACAUGCAAGUAGAACGCUGAAGGAGGAGCUUGCUUCUCUGGAUGAGUUGCGAACGGGUGAGUAACGCGUAGGUAACCUGCCUGGUAGCGGGGGAUAACUAUUGGAAACGAUAGCUCAUACCGCAUAACAGUAGAUAUCGCAUGAUAUCUACUUGAAAGGUGCAAUUGCAUCACUACCAGAUGGACCUGCGUUGUAUUAGCUAGUUGGUGAGGUAACGGCUCACCAAGGCGACGAUACAUCGCCGACCUGGGAGGGGGAUCGGCCAAACUGGGAAUGAGACACGGCCCAGAAUCCUACGGGAGGCAGCAGGAGGGAAUCUUCGGCAAUGGACGGAAGGCUGACCGAGCAACGCCGCGGGAGUGAAGAAGGGUUUCGGAUCGUAAAGCUCUGUUGUAAGAGAAGAACGAGUGUGAUAGGGGAAAGUGCACACUGUGACGGUACCUUACCAGAAAGGGACGGCUAACUACGUG